rnacentral:misc_RNA from 1 species
AUUUCCCCCCUCUUAGCAAUUAAGUGUAUACUGUGUGUGAACCGGGGUGCCUCUUAACGGUUGGUCGUAUACGGCCUGGAUAGCAGAGGCUAAGUGAACGAGAAGCCGACGGUCAGCCCCGAUUUCUUUUCUUCACUCGUCAACGUAGUCUGUAGGUAGCAAAGAGACGCCUAAAGACUGCGCGAACACCACGGCGUCUUCACGAGAGAGAUAGGGCACGUCCAGAGCGUCGGCGAGCUUGGCAACUCUCUCCUCUACCC